GACGAACGCUUUCUUCUUUCCUAAUACAUGCAAGUCGAACGAGAGCGACCGGUGCUUGCACUGGUCAAUCUAGUGGCGAACGGGUGAGUAACACGUGGGUAACCUGCCCAUCAGAGGGGGAUAACAUUCGGAAACGGAUGCUAAAACCGCAUAGGUCUUCGAACCGCAUGGUUUGAAGAGGAAAAGAGGCGCAAGCUUCUGCUGAUGGAUGGACCCGCGGUGCAUUAGCUAGUUGGUGAGGUAACGGCUCACCAAGGCCGUGAUGCAUAGCCGACCUGAGAGGGUGAUCGGCCACAUUGGGACUGAGACACGGCCCAAACUCCUACGGGAGGCAGCAGUAGGGAAUCUUCCGCAAUGGACGCAAGUCUGACGGAGCAACGCCGCGUGAGUGAAGAAGGUUUUCGGAUCGUAAAACUCUGUUGUUAGAGAAGAAUAAGUGCUAGAGUAACUGUUAGCGCCUUGACGGUAUCUAACCAGAAAGCCACGGCUAACUACGUG
rnacentral:rRNA from 1 species